AACGUAGGAGGCGAGCGUUAUCCGGAUUUACUGGGUGUAAAGCGCGUGCAGGCGGAGCGGAAAGUUGGAUGUAAAAGCUCCCGGCUUAACUGGGAGAGGUCGUUCAAAACUACCGAUCUAGAGUACAGUAGAGGGAAGUGGAAUUCCGGGUGUAGUGGUGAAAUGCGUAGAUAUCCGGAGGAACACCAGUGGCGAAAGCGGCUUUCUGGACUGUAACUGACGCUCAGACGCGAAAGCUAGGGUAGCAAACGGG
rnacentral:rRNA from 1 species